GCAGUAGGGAAUAUUGGGCAAUGGCCGAGAGGCUGACCCAGCCAUGCCGCGUGCAGGAAGAAGGCCUUCUGGGUUGUAAACUGCUUUUACCAGGGAAGAAAACGCGCCUGCGGGCGUAACUGACGGUACCUGGUGAAUAAGCACCGGCUAACUCCGUGCCAGCAGCCGCGGUAAUACGGAGGGUGCAAGCGUUGUCCGGAUUUAUUGGGUUUAAAGGGUGCGUAGGCGGCCCGUUAAGUCAGCGGUGAAAUCCCGGGGCUCAACCCCGGAACUGCCGUUGAUACUGGCGGGCUUGAGUUCGGUCGAGGCGGGCGGAACUGGUGGUGUAGCGGUGAAAUGCAUAGAUACCACCAAGAACCCCGAUUGCGAAGGCAGCUCGCUGGGCCGAAACUGACGCUGAGGCACGAAAGCGUGGGGAGCGAACAGGAUUAGAUACCCUGGUAGUCCACGCCGUAAACGAUGAGUACUCGAUGUUUGCGAUACACGGCAAGCGUCCAAGCGAAAGCGUUAAGUACUCCACCUGGGGAGUACGCCCGCAAGGGUGAAACUNAAAA
rnacentral:rRNA from 1 species